CUAUAACGGUCCUAAGGUAGCGAAAUUCCUUGUCGGGUAAGUUCCGACCCGCACGAAAGGCGCAACGAUCUGGGCACUGUCUCAACGAGAGACUCGGUGAAAUUAUAGUACCUGUGAAGAUGCAGGUUACCCGCGACAGGACGGAAAGACCCCGUGGAGCUUUACUGCAGCCUGAUAUUGAAUGUUGGUACAGCUUGUACAGGAUAGGUAGGAGCCUUGGAAACCGGAGCGCUAGCUUCGGUGGAGGCAUCGGUGGGAUACUACCCUGGCUGUAUUGACCUUCUAACCCGCUGCCCUUAUCGGGCAGGGAGACAGUGUCAGGUGGGCAGUUUGACUGGGGCGGUCGCCUCCUAAAAUGUAACGGAGGCGCCCAAAGGUUCCCUCAGAAUGGUUGGAAAUCAUUCGCAGAGUGUAAAGGCACAAGGGAGCUUGACUGCGAGACCUACAAGUCGAGCAGGGACGAAAGUCGGGCUUAGUGAUCCGGUGGUUCCGCAUGGAAGGGCCAUCGCUCAACGGAUAAAAGCUACCCCGGGGAUAACAGGCUUAUCUCCCCCAAGAGUCCACAUCGACGGGGAGGUUUGGCACCUCGAUGUCGGCUCAUCGCAUCCUGGGGCUGUAGUCGGUCCCAAGGGUUGGGCUGUUCGCCCAUUAAAGCGGUACGCGAGCUGGGUUCAGAACGUCGUGAGACAGUUCGGUCCCUAUCCGUCGCGGGCGCAGGAAAUUUGAGAGGAGCUGUCCUUAGUACGAGAGGACCGGGAUGGACGCACCGCUGGUGUACCAGUUGUUCUGCCAAGGGCAUCGCUGGGUAGCUAUGUGCGGACGGGAUAAGUGCUGAAAGCAUCUAAGCAUGAAGCCCCCCUCAAGAUGAGAUUUCCCAUUCCGCAAGGAAGUAAGAUCCCUGAAAGAUGAUCAGGUUGAUAGGUCUGAGGUGGAAGCGUGGUGACACGUGGAGCUGACAGAUACUAAUAGAUCGAGGACUUAACCUAUA
rnacentral:rRNA from 2 species